rnacentral:lncRNA from 1 species
GCCCACGCCAUUCACCUCACUCCAUCUCAUCACGCAGGCAUUGUAUCAUCUCACAUCACCACAAGAAGAAGGGUAUCAACUGGUCAUGUUCUUCCCAACGUGUAUUCUGGUUUAGGGUAAAAUGGAUCCCAGUGGAGUCUGAGAGAAUGGAUCAGUUCAACCCCUCUAAGAGCUUGACCUCUAAGCAUAGAGGUGGAGCCGACUGCUUUCCCAUCCAUCAGUUCUCUUUCAACCUGAUGUGGAGAUGAUGACAAAAAGAAUGGACUUUAACAAGAAGUAGUUAACAUUCAAAGCCAGCCUCCUGACUUGACACUAUCCUCCUAGAUUUGGAGGCUUUUUGUUUUCAU